UCAGUCGCACGAGAAGGGAGCAUCCUAAGUAAAGUGGCGCACGGAUGAGUAACACGUGGAUCAUCUACCUUUUAGUGGGGAAUACCUCUGGGAAACCGGAGACAAUACCGCAUAAGCCUGUAAAGGGAAAGCAGCAAUGCGCUGAAAGAGGAGUCCGCGGUCCGAUUAGCUAGUUGGCGGGGUAAUGGCCCACCAAGGCGAAGAUCGGUAGCCGGCCUGAGAGGGCACACGGCCACACUGGCACUGAAACACGGGCCAGACUCCUACGGGAGGCAGCAGUGGGGAAUCUUGCACAAUGGGCGAAAGCCUGAUGCAGCGACGCCGUCGUGAGCGAUGAAGCCCUUCGGGGUGUAAAGCUCUUUCGACGGGAACGAUAAUGACGGGUACCCGGAGAAAAGCUGCGGCUAACUACGUGCCAGCAGCCGCGGUAAUACGUAGCAGGCGAGCGUUGUUCGGAAUUACUGGGCGUAAAGAGUGUGUAGGCGGUGUUCCCAAGUCUGUUGUGAAAUCUCCCGGCUUAACUGGGAGGGUGCAAGCGGAAACUAGAAUGCUAAGGGUGGGGAUAGGUAAGGGGAAUUCCUGGUGUAGCGGUGAAAUGCGUA
rnacentral:rRNA from 1 species